AUUCUACUCCCUCCGUUGCAUAAUAAUACCUUCUAUUUGUCAAAAUAUAUAUGUAUCUAGACAUGUUUUAGUAUAUAGGUACAUCCAUUUUUGGACAAAUGGAAGUCAAGUAUUUUGGAACGGAGGGAGUACACA
rnacentral:pre_miRNA from 1 species